AGAAUCAACACUGGCGGCGUGCCUAACACAUGCAAGUCGCACGAGAAAGGGGAGCAAUCCCUGAGUACAGUGGCGCACGGGUGAGUAACACGUGAAUCAUCUACCUCCGAGUGGGGAAUAACUGAGAGAAAUCUUAGCUAAUACCGCAUAAUACCCACGGGUCAAAGCAGCAAUGCGCUUGGAGAGGAGUUCGCGGCAGAUUAGUUAGUUGGCGGGGUAAUGGCCCACCAAGACGAUGAUCUGUA
rnacentral:rRNA from 1 species